AGAGUUUGAUCAUGGCUCAGGAUGAACGCUAGCGGUGCGCCUAACACAUGCAAGUCGAGCGAUCGAGCCAAGCCAAUCACCCUUCGGGGUGUGCGGAUUGGUCACGGAGCGGCGAACUGGUGAGUAACACGUGACUAACCUACCCCCUUGACAAGGAUAGCCACCCGAAAGGGUGGGUAAUACUCGAUAUUGUUGGAGGUCGAUGGAUUUCCAACCAAAGGCGGUUCUGCCGCCACAAGGGGAGGGGGUCGCGUCCUAUUAGCUUGUUGGUAGGGUAACGGCCUACCAAGGCUACGAUGGGUAGCUGGUCUGAGAGGAUGGUCAGCCACAUUGGGACUGAGAUACGGCCCAGACUCCUACGGGAGGCAGCAGUGGGGAAUCUUUCGCAAUGGACGAAAGUCUGACGGAGCGACACCGCGUGGGGGAUGAAUGCUUUCGGGUUGUAAACCCCUUUUCUGGGGGAAGAAUAAGGGCGGAAGGAAAUGUCCGUCCGAUGACGGUACCCCAGGAAUAAGCAUCGGCUAACUUCGUGCCAGCAGCCGCGGUAAGACGAAGGAUGCAAGCGUUAUCCGGAAUUACUGGGCGUAAAGGGUGUCUAGGCGGUUGAGUAAGUCACCUGUGAAAGCCCUCAGCUUAACUG
rnacentral:rRNA from 1 species